rnacentral:lncRNA from 1 species
CGACAACCCAGCGGGAAGUGCUCUAGCGGGGAUUCUGGGCUUGUGAGAGUCCCUGUUUACCCCCCUUUCUUCCUUUUCAUCCAUUAAAACCCUACUUUACUCACCAUUCAAACUGUUUGUGAGCCUAAAUUUUCAUAGCCGUAGGACGGACAAGGACCCCAUCGCUAGCUGAACUAAGGAAAAGUCCUGAAACAUUUUUGGCCUGCAACGUGGGGACUCAAGAAGCAAGACAUGGAUGAAGGUGGAAGCCAUCAUUCUCAGCAAACUAACACAGGAACAGAAAACCAAACACUGCAUGUUCUCACUCAUAAGUGGGAGUUGAACAGCAAGAACACAUGGACACAGCAAGGGGAACAUCACACACCCGGGCCUGUUGGGGAGUCAGGGGCAAAAGGAAGGAGGGCAUUAGGACAAAUACCUAAUGAAUGUGGGGCUUAAAACCUAGAUAACGGUUUCAUAGGUGCAGCAAACCACAAUGGUACAUGUAUACCUAUGUAACAAACCUACACAUUCUGCACAUGUAUCCUGGAACUAAAGUAAAAUUAAAAAUUUUUAAAAAAAAGUCAACAAGAAAAAAAAAAGCUGUAAUUAAUUUGGCCAAAAGAAAGACAAUUGCUUGGAUCUGAUGUUUUUAAAGGGAAGAUAAAAUCUAUGGUACCUUUCAGUUCAUGUGACUUUAAUCUUUAAGAAAUAAAAACACCCCUAAGGACUAUUAGUAAAAUGCAGGUCAGAUGCAAAGUUUUCUAAGUGUUGUGAGUUUACAAACUGCUUUUUGGGUUUUGAGAACUAUUUGACUUGCUGGCUUCACAAUUGGUAAGGCCUGGGGACUAUGGAACUAACUAUGCCCCUUAUUAUGCUAUAGUCAAACCUUGGUUGCAGUUAGCACACAAUUAAAGCAACUUAACAAGUUUCACCUUAAAGAUAACAAUUGCUGGGGUUACCAUUAUAACAGGUAAUUGAGACUACUCAAAAUAGAUUUACAUGCAAGGGGUAUAAGAACAGUAAAAUGUGCUUUUUCUUUGUAAAAUGUUAUAAGAAGGCAUGGAAAUAUAAAUUUUUGCCUAGGGUUAAAGGAUUGUUUUAAAUUAGAUAAGAGAAAGCCGAAGGUUCAAACAAGUGGUAGAAGAACUGGGGAAAUUAAUCUUGCAGAAGAGGUUCUCUGGGUGAACAUAUUGACUAACUUCAAAAAAGGGUAUUAUAUGGUUUUUCUGUAAAUUGAACAUUAAAAUAUAAGAACAACAAGGUAUUCUUAAAAUGCUAAUCUGCUCCUUAACAAAAUUCAAAAGGGUUAUAAAAGGUUUUUGCUUCUUUAAAAUUUCUGAGUCAUUUUGGCAAAAUAAAUAAUUUAUGGUAAUCUGGAAUUCUAUUUCAUAAUAUUAAGUGCUUUAAACAUAUUUAACAGCUUUCCCAAAAUCAAACUUCAGUUUCAAAAUUGUCUUCCCUGGCACCUGGUUUUUUGAAUACUUCAGAGGGCCCCUGAAGUGUCUAGAAAAGAGAGGUAAAAAGGAUUAUUUGACAUGUUUAGGUAUAUGAGAUUGCCAAAAUGAUGCUCAAUCUUCUUUAGGUUAUAUCUUGGUGGAUAAUACUAAUAUAUGUUCCAAAAUUGUAUGGGAUUUCUAAAAUUCUAAGGUCUAAGUAUAUGCCAUAAAUCAUAAUUAAGGUUGUUAUGUUAAGUUAUUGUAAAACAGAGAUAACAAAACUUCUUUGUCAAUUGUGUGUCUAACUGUAACUACCCUGGACAUUUUGUUAUUCACAGACGAUUGUUGUCUUGUUUUAAUCCUUUCAAAAGAUGGUUUAUAAUAAGCUAUACAACUUUAACAGGUACUUUCAAAUACAGGCUUCUGAUAACUUUAGAGACUGUAACAUUGGAAUAAAGGAAAAAGUACAGGACUCAUAAAGAGCUGAAAUGUUCAUGAAUGUCAAGCAAAACAAGAGUUAAGUAAAU